rnacentral:rRNA from 1 species
CCUACGGGAGGCAGCAGUGAGGAAUAUUGGUCAAUGGACGAGAGUCUGAACCAGCCAAGUAGCGUGAAGGAUGACUGACCUAGGGGUUGUACACUUAUUUUAUAUGGGAAUAAAAUGUUCCAAGUGAGGGAUUUUGUACGUACCAUAUGAAUAAGGAUCGGCUAACUCCGGGCCAGAAGCCGCGGUAAUACGGAGGAUCCGAGGGUUAUCCGGAUUUAUUGGGUUUAAAGGGAGCUUAGGUGGAUUUUUAAGUCAGUUGUGAAAGUUUGCUGCUCAACCGUAAAAUUGCAGUUGAACAUGUCAGUCUUGAGUACAGUAGAGGUAAGCGGAAUUCGUGGUGUAGCGGUGAAAUGCUUAGAUAUCACGAAGAACUCCAGUGGCGAAGGCAGCUCACUGGACUGCAACUGACACUGAGGCUCGAAAGUGUGGGUAUCAAACAGGAUUAGAUACCCCAGUAGUC